AUUGAACGCUGGCGGCAUGCCUUACACAUGCAAGUCGAACGGCAGCACGGGAGCAAUCCUGGUGGCGAGUGGCGAACGGGUGAGUAAAGUAUCGGAACGUGCCCAGUCGUGGGGGAUAACGUAGCGAAAGUUACGCUAAUACCGCAUACGAUCUAUGGAUGAAAGCGGGGGAUCGCAAGACCUCGCGCGAUUGGAGCGGCCGAUAUCAGAUUAGGUAGUUGGUGGGGUAAAGGCGCACCAAGCCGACGAUCGGUAGCUGGUCUGAGAGGACGACCAUCCACACUGGGACGGAAACACGGCACAGACUCCUGCGGGAGGGAGCAGUGGGGAGUUUUGGACAAUGGGCGAAAGCCUGAUCGGGCCAUGCCGCGUGCAGGAUGAAGGCCUUCGGGUUGUACGCUGCUUUUGUACGGUACGAAAAGGUUUGACUUGAUGCGUUGGACUCAUGACGGUACUGUAAGAUUAAGCACCGGCUAACUACGUGCCAGCCGCCGCUGUAUCAC
rnacentral:rRNA from 1 species